AAUAUUAAUUUAUUGGCAAGUUGAUUCAUUGACUUUUAAUCAUCUAAGCUUAGUCUACGCCAUGGAAUUAAUGGGGUGUAAAUGAUCAACGAAAACGCUCAAAUAAGCGAAAAAUCAACAUUCAAUUGCUACGACAACGUGAACAAAUCGCUGUCACAGACACAACAUAAACGAGCAUAGCAAUCAACUAGAAAAUUUUGAAUUUCUCAAUCAUUUUAAUCCCAUCAUUGUCAAUCGUCGUAGGAUUCUAGAAGAGGCUGUAAAAUGGAAGAACUCGGACAAGAAGAAUGGUCUUGCGGCUAACGCUUCUAUGGCUAAAUCCAUUUUUUGUAGUCGAAAAGUUUGGGUUUUUUGGUUGAAUAGCCCGUCAGCCAGUCCACCUCGCAGAGCCUCUCCAUGUGCCUCCUGAUGAUGUGCGUCUUGAGGUUGUGCCUCCGCUUGAAGCGCGACGUGCAAAAGUUGCAAUUGUGCGCCUUCUCCUUGCCGCAGUCCUGGUGCAAAUGGGCCAACAUUGUCCUGGCGUUUUUGUACAGUUUCUGGCACUUCGGGCAGCGGACGGCGCCAACUGAAACCACACCAAACGGUUUUAUUGCAGUUUUUGCAUGAGUAUGGGGCUGAAAUUGGGAAAAAUAGUUAAUUGGCAACUGGAGGAUUGAAGUGAGAAACUCCUGAACGGGUCAGUAGUAUGUAAGAAAACGGACCCAAUAAAGAUUAGUAAGAUAUAUUUGAAAAUACAAUUAAAAGCAUACUUAAUGAGAUGUAUAUUUAUAACAAUAUUAAAUGCGAUUUAAAAGACAAA